CAUAACAGAGGGAUUAUUUUCAUCGUGUCGUGAAUAGAAUUGAUCAUAAUAUUAUCUAUGGAAUGGUCUUGGUGAGAUUUUACUAAUGUCAAGAUGUACAUCUAAUUAACAGUAAUGAUUUUUGUUGCUUUUUCUAACUUCUUAUUGUGCUGGUUUCAUUGUCUUAAAAUUGGGAACAAAAUACUUACUCUGUGGGGGACCAAAUACCUUUUCGGAGUUGCGACUGUUUUAGUUUUCAUAUACUUGUCCAAUGUCCCUUCAUUUUUCCUUCAUUGAUAUCAAAAUGCCGAUGGUCUUUGGUUUGAAAGUUUUGUUUCUGUAAGUUCACUUGAAAAUCCCAGGCACUAUACUUAAAAGUUAAGUUAGAAUAAAAGCUUAAAGUUUUCUUCCUUCACUUGUAUACCUCUGUGCUAAAAUUACACUAUCCCCCUUUUAUGUUAUUUGUCAUUAUUUGUUUGUUGACUCUAAUUGUUCCUCUAGGGGAAAUAUGGUGGAUACCUUUCAAAUUCAUGUUCGUCCAGGAGGUUUUGGUUUCUAAAAAGACCACCUCCUUGAAUUUAGAUCCAGAGGGUCCAAGCCAACUAUACAAAGUUGUGUUGGCCGGUUCUCAAGAGUAUUCGUUGGCUCGCCAAUCUUUAACUAAUAUUGUUUGACUCUCCUUGUUGGAUUUCGAUUGUUUAAUAGCUUUUGGCUGCUUGCUGUGUCAAUUGCAAUGUGGUCAAAAUAGGACGCAUUGGUACUUCAAUGAAUGCUUCACAAAGGCUACGUUAAAGCAGCUUCUAUGGUUGAACUAUGUCAAUAAAAUGAAUCUGUGAAGGACUCCUAGGAUAUACUACUUUGUUUAGUAAGCAGUGCGCGUUAAAGCGGUCCUUGCAUUAUAAGCAUUGACCUUUUUUAGGCAGAGAAUCUUCAAAAUAAGCAUUCAUCUUUGGUUUGUGAAUUGUCACGUGUUUCUUGUACUCAUACUUUGGUUGCUUAUAAAUGUUUGGUGAUUAUAGGUAGUGUUUUGUGAUGUGAUGUGAUGUGACUGGGAAAAUUCUGAUGAAGUGCUUUCUUUCAGGAAUGCCUGAUUUGAAGUUGGGUUUAAACGAUAAAAUUGGCCUUGAGAAAGAGUCACAACUUAAGUCACGUCCCACUAAGAGUGUAUAGUAUUCUUCUGGCAGCUGCGGACCAAACAUGAGGAAGGUGCAACUAGUGGUAGAUAACCAGAGAUUGAGGUGGGUCUGAUUUCAUUUUAAGUGCAAUUGUGGUACAUCUCUGCAACAUAAGGAAGUACAUUCUUUGCUUUGGUACCGUAACAUUUAUUUGUUUGUUUUCUUGUUUCAAGAGAAGGUUACAUGGAACUCUUCUACAAUGCUAGGUGACAAACUACUUUAGUGGUUGGAGGUGAGUACCUAUUGUAAUGCCCUAUUUUAUAGUUUCAUUCUUUGUUGCUUUCAUAUUAUUUAUUCUCCAGUUUUCAACUAAUAUUGCUUCUUUAUUUGCAAAUGCUUGAGAAAAAGAUGAUCAGGAGAAUGUGUUUGAUAAAGGCGCGCGGGACACUAUUUAUUUUAGGGACUUAGUGUUUAUUUUCUUUGACUUGUUUGUCCUUUUUUUCCUUGACUGUAUUUUAUUAUGGUUACAUAUGAACAUGAAUUUGGAUUGCAAAAGUAUGAAUUAUUGUUUAUUUUUGUUA